AUUUAGUCAAACUUUUUUUAACACGUAUGAUAUAGUUUGAUUUCAAUUCAUAAUUACUUAUUUUGUUAAAUUUAAGCUUGAAUUUGUUAGUAAAUCUUUAUCCUUUAUGUUCAAAUACAUAUAUAAUGCUGUAUGUAUAGCUUUUAUUAUGUUGUCAAGCAUUUUCAGUGUUCUUUUUGUGCGUAAAGGGUGAAAAGCGCUGUUCGUAGAGGCAAAAUAGGGGACAUCUUCUACUUCAUAUGGGAAGAAGAGGAUCAGUGUCACCGUACAUAUUUCCGCAACUAUUUGUUCCUGUUUGUUCUGUCUAUCUACCUUCCUCUAUGUAAUUUUAAGUUAAAUUGAACUACUUUUUUUAACUUCAGAUUGAACUGAAGUGCUAAGAACUUAGUAAAAUGAAAGUUUACUUGGGUUUGGUGACAAUUAGGUGUUUGAUGUUGAAUCUA